rnacentral:lncRNA from 1 species
UCAUAUCUUGAAUAAUUCACAUGUCCCUCAUAGUCUCUCCAAAUCUCUCAAAUCUCUUUCCUUUUUUGCAGAAACAAAGGAACACACACAACUUUAGUUUGAUUUUUGGUGACCAAGAAACAACAAGGCAUAUUUGCUCGUUUGUUCGAUUCUCAUUUUGGAGUGCGACUUUAAUAAAUGAAAUCCCGUUUAUGUUCUCUAGGCCAUCCACCAAGUUGAAGAAAGGUAUCCAUUUAAUUCUUCUUGUAGUUAGUCUUUUCGUUGUUUGAAUUUUAUGAACACAGGUCCAAUAGCUAGAUCAUGAUAUUUUGAUAAAUUCCUCCUGUUCUAGUUUUGAUUUGUAAAUUUUGAUUGAGCAUCAUUAUCCAACAGUGAUAUAAGAGCAUCGUGUUCAUCAUUUCUUGCAUAACAAAAAAAUUUAUUUUGAUGAUAAUUUAUUAAGUAUGAUCUUGUACACACAAAUGUGAAGUUAUGUGUACCAUAUAUACAUAUAGAAAUUUCAAAAGGUUUUAAAAACAAUAAUAAUAUACUAGUUGUGAGACCCAUGUAUUACAUGAGUUAUUUUUUUUUAAAAAAGUUAAAUAUAAAUGUAUAAAUAUUUGAAAACUUUGAAUUUAUUAGAAAAUAAGAAAAAUAAUGAAUUGUCAAAAUUGAAAUGUUAUUUUGAUCUUUUAAAUUAAAGAAAUAAUUUAGAUAAAUAAACAAAUUUUUUUGAAAAUUUAAAAUUAUAAGGUAACUCCAUUAAUGAAAUUGAUAUCUAUUUAUUACAAAAUUUAUUGUAAUUAUUACAUUAAAAUAGUAUGUGGAAUUUAAAAAAAUAGAAAUGCCAUAAAAUGACAUAUGGAAAAAAAUUAAUUAAAAAUAACCACACGAUGACGUUUAACAAAAUAUAUGAGAAUAAGACAUGUGACAAAAAAAGCUUCAUUUAUUAGAAUAUAUAUAUAUAUAUAUANNNNNNNNNNNNNNNNNNNNNNNNNNNNNNNNNNNNNNNNNNNNNNNNNNNNNNNNNNNNNNNNNNNNNNNNNNNNNNNNNNNNNNNNNNNNNNNNNNNNNNNNNNNNNNNNNNNNNNNNNNNNNNNNNNNNNNNNNNNNNNNNNNNNUAUAUAUAUAUAUAUAUUGUAGUGACAAAGAACAUGGUUUGGCAUGCGGAAUUUAAGUUUGCACAAUUGAACAUGAUGAUUUGGGUGCUAAAAGAUAUAUUCGAUCAUAGUAAAUGAGUACAAAAAUGGAUCUAGUCUAGAGCUUCAUAAAUAUCUCACUCAUUAAUCACUAUGACUACAUCUCUCAAGCACACCUCUACAAGUGGACAAACCCACCUUAUAUGGAGGCGUUUGCAUGUCUCUCUCUCACUGUCACUAACAAAUGGGUCUAAAGGCUAAUGCACCACAUGCAAGUGAGUUUUACAAAAGUCAAACAUUUACAAAGUCAAUCAUGAAUAACUUUGCACCCCAACAUUCUCCCCCUCAAAGUUAGGAAUGAAUGACCCACUUUACAUCUUCAAAAAUCAAGCACUACGCGGUUCGAGCCUCAAAGGUGACAUAUGUUGAAAUAAACUUCAAUCUUCAAUUCUUCCAUGAUUCUUCAAUUUGGGCUUUAGGAUGUGAGACCAUACAAUCCGAGCAGCAACGAAUGAUCAAGAGUAUUCCAAACUCCAAAUAAUCACCCAUAAGUUGCGCACAAAAAAACACCCCAAAAAUCUUCAAUAAAUCCAAACCCAUUUCGAAUACAUCACUUCCGAACUUCCAAUUGCAUCAUCUCGUGGGCUUCAAAACUUCAAGAUCACUUCAGUCUUCAAAUCCGUGUAAUAUGAAAAAUUCAAGUUCGAAUUUCCAUAUAAAACUUCUCCCCCUUUUUAUAAUCGAAAUUUGAUUAUAAAACUCCAAGGAAAAAGAACGUGCUCUAUUUAGAAUUUUUCAUGUCAAAACUCCCCCUUAACAUGUGGCAUAAACUCUGUGCUUCAAUCUGGAAAACCCAAAAAAUAAUAAAUUUUUAUUGUCAUUCACGGAUUGCCUUUGACAAAAUUUCUCAAAAAUGGGUAGAAAUUGUCAAUUUUAAAAUUCUGCAGUGAUCCGUUGCGCCCAAAACAACCAAAUAUGCAAAACUCUCCCCCUUUUCCAAAUCUGGGUAGAAAGCGUUAAUUUGCACAAACUGCAGGGACCUGAAAUGCAUUUUCUUCAAUUUCAGCAAAAACAGUCCUUUUUCGAAUUUGGGUAUGAACCGCCAAACAUUCGAAAUUUCAGGGGCUGAAUUUGAAAAAUUCUGCUUUUUGAUCAAAAUGUUCAAAAAUUUUGCCAAUCAUUCGAAGCCUUGCCCCAACAUUCGAAGUUAAACCAUUUGUGUCACUUUGUUAAAAGAGCAGGGACCAAAAUUGUAACUGUUCGGUUUCUUCUCCAACUCACCGAUUCACUUGGUGCGAAGCGACGCUUCGUACAAAACUGCAUCCAACACACACGAUAUANNNNNNNNNNNNNNNNNNNAGAGUUAGGUUCAAAUGUUUUUAGCAAAUAGUGUGUGACUAAAUGCACCAAUGAGAAUUCAAGAAUAAUAAAUCAUUAAAUAAAUUAAAAAAGGGUAUAAUGGUAAACUUCCUAUAUCUAAUUAUGGUAAAAAAUAAUUCAAUGAAUAUCUCCUUAAUUAGUUUAACCCUACAAAGCCCACAUCCCUAACCUUAAAGAGUACGGCGGCUUCCUUAAAUCAUCAAUAUCUCAGUUCCUCCUUUCCACCAGAAAUCAUCGAUACCUCAAUUCCUCCUUUCCACCAGAAAUCGAUUCUUUCACAGCUGCAUGUUCGUCGGCCUAUUAUGAUCGGAAAGAGGCUAGAAGUGAGGGUUAGGUGGUGCUGGUGGAUCGCUAGCAUAGGCGAUGGAGGGAGGCCGGCAGCGCAGGGCUGCUCCCCUCGGCUCCAUUCUUCUUCUGGUCCGAUUGUCUUGAAACACAAGGGUGGUUGCAAAUUGGGAGUUGUAAGGCGACAGUAAGUCGUAUGGGGUGGUGGCAAUCGGCAGGUGGGUGGAAUCGGUGAUGGAGGAAGCUGUUCAACAAUGAUUCAAUCAAUAGGUAAAGGCUCCUUUUUUUUCUUUUUUUUCUUGUUUGAUUUGGCAGAAUUACAUAGGUGUUCGUUUGAUUAAGAAUCAAUGGAUGUUUGUAGAAAUGCCUCAAAGAGAAUUUGACAGCUUUGUUGUAGAAAUGGCCUAAAAGAAAUUUUGAUUUAUAUGUUGCACGCCAGGUGUUUGUAGAAAUGCCUCAGAGAGUAUUUCUUUUAUUUUCAUCAUUAAACCUUUUGAUAUGUUUUUUUUGUUGUUUUAUUAACUCCUUGUUUGUUAAUUACCUGAGUAACAUCAAUCUUUUCUAUUGGUAUUUGAUUUUUUUAAUCAAUUUAGGGUGAAGAUUUGAUUAAGGGUUUAUAAGAGAUUUUCACAAAUUUGAGACAUUUUAGAACUUAAACAUUGUAUGAAUGAGAAAACUAUUCUCAAAAGCAUUUGUAAUCACAUGAUUAAAUAAGCAAUAUGUGGAAAAUAUCAAAAUCUAACCUUCUAAUAUUUGAAAAUUAUUAAACUUAACAUGUUUCACUGUUCACAAUUUUAUAAUCUUGAUUUAGUAGCAAAUUUUAUGUAAUCUAUCAGAAUAUAUUCUAUGUAUUCUUCCAGAAUAUAUAAAAUGCUAGGAAUUGCAAGUAACAUUAUAGUAAUUCUGACAGAAUGCAUUUAUACAUUCUAUGCUUUAGAAUGUUUAUAUAUAGAGAAAUACGAUUGUAAAUGGAAAAUCACAUGCUUUUAAUUCUUUAUAGUGGCAUGUAAAGUUAUAACUAGCAGAUUUUAUUCUAUGUAUUCUGCGAGAUUGUAUUCUAUGUAUUAUGCAAGAUUAUGUUCUGUAUAUUCUACCGGAAUGAAUUAUAUGUAUUCUCCCAGGAUGUAUAAAAUAAUAGGAAUUGCAAGCAACAAGUUUUUAACCAUUAUUAGUUUUUGUUGCAUUUGUGAUAGGAAUGGUCGGAAGAAUGGCUUGAAGACCUGAUAAGAAUGACUUGAAGAAUGAGCCAAAGAUUGAUGACACUCACAGUUUAAGAAUGUUCUUAUUUUUUAAGAAUUACACUUGUAUUUAUUCAUUAACUGUAUAUUCAAGAAUGCUGAUUUUUUAUGAUAUUCUUUUAGAAUAUGUAUAAAUAUAUUACAAUGUAGAAGGCUAUUAGUAUGUAAGAAUAUGUAUGAAUUUCUAUUUAAGUUCGAAUGUAUAUGAAAAUAUUAAAAUGUUGUUAUUCUUCAACUAGGAGUUCAAGAAUUCUGUUAUUCUUCGCUAAUAUUCUACUAGAAUUAAACUCUGAAAGAACAUCAUUCAAACAAAAAUUCAUUCUGACGGAAUAAAAUCGGUUAUGUUUACAAAUUAUGUUUAGAAUUAAUUGAAAUUAAUUUAAAAAAUUAAGAUUUUAAAAUUAGAAGUGUUAAUGAUCCCUUAAAAUCCGAAAAUUACAUUUUUUAAAAUAGGUUAAUUGACCAAAAUGCUCUUUUUCUAAAAUUUGUGUGAUUAUAUGGUACAUACUACUUUAUUGUAAUAUCAUAGACCCUCAGAUCAUAAUCAUUGAUUUUAUUCAUCUGGUGGUCCAGAUCUGUGCAUUAUGACACACAAUAGUUAGUAAAAACAAAAUAACCUA